AGAGGGGGACCUCGAUUUCGGUUUCGUGGGAGGUUCAAUGUCAUAGCCAAGAAACCGGGGGGCGGGGGGAGGCGGGAGGCGGGAAACCAAAACUGUGCCAUUAACAAAUUGUGGUUGAGUGAAGAUGAGAGUACUAAACGAUGAAAUACCUUGCUGACUUUGAUAACAGAAGGAGGUAACCGUACAUAAAUAUAUUACAUCCUAUAUCCGAAUAAGGUGUGCUUUUUCUUUCGAACGCUAGUUUUAUAUGCAAAAAUCUCCUAAACACAUACAUAUUUACUAUAUAUUUACGAGUGGUAUGUUGAGGAUAAAUAUGGAUCUUUAUAUUUGCAAAUCCGCGAAUCUUCUACCACAGGAAACGCACCUUUAGAUCUGUUAACUACUUCCAACCAACUGCUUGGCCAAUUUAAUAUACUCCCCAAUUAAGGGGGAUCUGCACACUACGAGUAUAUGGCAUUGUGAGGCCCACUUGGCUUACACACCUUGGCAUUGAUAAUCACAGUUCGUAAAGUAAUCCAUCGUUAUAACCUACCUCAACUAAAACUGUGUAUAGUUACUGACCAGGGUACCCAUUCCCUUGAUCGUUCUUAUCGCAUGGGGGAAAAUUCCAUGUGAAACAAGCACAGCUAGCAUCGUCAUCCCAUUCAUCCUCGAAGCGAGACACAGCAACAGAUCAACAGCAACAACCACAUCAAUGUUAAUGCCAUUCGUCUGCAGCGACAAGAUCAAUGCACUCUCUGCGACACAAGCUGCAAUUAAAAGCUCAUCUUCUGUCGCUCUUUUGAUGAUUUCUGAUUUCCCUCUCGCUACAAAGCUCAACCUCAAGUAGGCUGCUGAUAAGCUUGCAUCUACUUAUGAAGGUUAAUUAACUACAAUCAGAAUUCGCAAGUGAGACUUUUGCGAACGUUAAUCGUGUAAUAAGAACUAAUUUAUUGUCGAAUUUAGUUCCAAUAAGUCAAUUCUUUUGUAAAAUACCGACAUGGAAAAACGAUUGGGAAUUCGACUUCCUUAAUAUCUAAGAUCCAUUUUCACCAUACAAAAUUUAAACGAUUUGCUUCUGAUCGUAUUCACCAACAUAAUAAAUGAACCGCCAGUGUAAAGCUCAUCCGAUCACUUGCACCCAAGACUCAAACCAAGCCAAAAGCUUCGCGUCUUGGGCGCUCUCUUACACACAAACAGGUUGUGCUUUUAUUAUUGUAUUCGUUUGCUCUUAUCACGCUCUUGAUACCCUUGCAGAGAGUAUUUCUCAAAAAUAAUACGUGGGUAUAUUAAAAUAUAAUACCAUUACGCACUCGUUUCGUUCUUGUACGUUGCUCGCCCCCCACUCGAUUCGUUGCUUCGAUAUAAUUAAUAUAUUGGAUCGAGACAAAUCGAUCUAGAUAUAGAUCGGAUGACUAAAUCAUUUUGAUAAUAUAGCACGACCAAUGGCUUUCAAGAGUAUCAGUCAGUUCGGCCUUCCUUUCUUUGUAUUUUAUUAUUUUUGUCGUUUUGUUGUGACUCGUUUUCUUUGUCCUCUUUGUAUUUCUGGUUCUCCCUGUGUGUGUGUGUGUGUGUGUAAGCAAUUGCUGGAAAUAAUCAGGCGAAAUAAAAAUAAAAACAAAGCGUUGCAUGUAUGGGCUUUUGGGCCGCAUGGCAACAAGUGAAUUGAACUGUUGCUGACGUUUCUUGACGGUUUCUUUUAUGGCUUCUGUCUUGAUGGCCGAUUCAUGCGAGUGGCGUGUUUCAGUGUUGCCAGCAGCGAUCCAGAAAGCAAGUUUGAGGGAGGAGCACUCAUAGCUGCACCAGGUCAUUCCAAUUCCUGCCAUUGUCUCCAUAUUCUGAUUGAGGUAUCCGUAUCCGCCAGAAACUUGGGCCGAUUCGCAUUGACAGCUUUGUUUUGAGCUUUGAGUAACUUCAGAACCAAUGCUGACGCUGUGCCCACCCUGCCAAUCCAAUGAUGAUAACCUUUAGACACAGCGACGACGACAACAACGACAAUGACAUCGACAACGACAACGACAACGACACCGACGAAAUGGCAAAGACAACAACACAAAUAUUAUUGUUGACGCUGAAUGGGACGGGAGUCUAUUUCUCUGGCCGAGCCCCCCAACAAAGCAUUCAAUAAUAAAUAGCAUUACUUAUGCAUGCACGAAAGAAAUCAAAACAGUCUUAAAUAUGAUGGUUCCAUUGUCUGUUUUCUGCUUAUGCAUGUGUAUGUGCAGGCACGCGCCUUCCUCCCCCUAAUUGCUGCCCAACUCCACUCCCACAUCGAUCAAAGAAUUUGGGGGGCAUUACCUAGCAACACGGGAAAAAUGGCUUACUGUGAUUCCAUUAUCAGUUAAUUGUUUGUUUACUACGUAGUGCCACAAUUUCUGGAACUUUUCAGUGCCCCCCCUAGAUAAGAUUAUUUUAUACUCAAUAGUGAGGGGCAUGACGCUUCGCUUCUAAUGAUCCCAAAAACUGAGUCAUCCCAUUCAGCAAUUGGUGCAGCUGUAGUCAAGCAGCGUUGAUGCCAUUACAUCCACUCCACAGCAGUCCCUAGUCACUGCCCCAGUAUUCCAUGGAAGAGACUAGACCCACAUUAGGGAGCUGCGUCUGUCCAUUACCUUAUACACAUUAUGUGACUGGCGGAACAGUUUAAUCUACACCAGAGCGUGUGCCGUCCCGUCUGGGGGCCGCUUAUCAGCUGCAAACUAUCCUCAGAUUCCAGUUCGAACCGGGUUCCCCGUAUCAGUUUCUGCGCAGUGUCGGGCUUAGAGAAGGGAAACCAACAUAAAAGAUAUGAUUAAUUGGAUAUUUUUAGAAAAAUUGCUGUUUCAAUAAAUGAUGUUUUUUGAAAUCGUACACAAUAUAUAUGACGCUGAUCAGAAUCGGCCAGUGGAAAUGUUUGCAACCGUCGUCAGUCGUAAGUUCUAGAGUUUCGAAUAGAAAAACGAUAAGAUAGGGGACUUUCCUCGUGAUCAGCUCUCACGUCACUAUUACAUUGUAAGCGAUUCGAUUCAGAUCAACCAUUGCCCAAUAUUCGAUAGGCAGUUGUCUUCAAACGAUAGCUUCGCACUCGAUAAGGACUCAGGGGCAAGCAAUCUUCUGAUUGUCCGUAUUCCGUUCAGUGCCGAAUCUAAGGCGGAGGGCCAAGGCUAUUGAACCCCCAUCUAAAACCAGUUUUGAGAAUCUUUUACAAUAAUACCAGAAGUACAGUUCCGUUUCCAAAUUUAUCAUUUUGUUGUGGAAAAUCUGUUGAAUCAGCUGACACGCUUAAUAUCUGUUGCCAAGUGUGCAUAUACAUACGUAUGUAUCACUAUUUAUAUUCCUCGUCAGAGAUAU